CCUGCUUCUCGCUUUCCUGUUAGGGUUUCACGGGAGUACCCCCCAGCCCCCAGGCAGAGGGGCACAGAAACACUGAAAGACCAGAAUUAAUCAAGGUUCUCUUAAGGGCAUGUCUGUGCUUAAACAACCAAAGUGCAAAGAAACUAAAAAGCUCUAAUGCAGGACGGAGGGAGGGGGGUGGGGCCUUGGUGUGUGUCACACUUUAUGGGGGCAAGACAUGAUUGCAAGAGGGACUUUACCUAACAAUUGCAAUCAGUGUAACCUGGCUUAUUGUACCCUCAAUGAAUCCCCAACAACAACAACAAAAAAACUCUAAUGCAAGCACAUGCUCCAGUGUUGUGUAUGUGACGCCCAGCAGCUGGCACCCAAAGGGGCUUACUUAAUGUCUCAGAUUAGCUACAACGAAGUUUGUGAACACAAACGUGCACACACACAUGCAGGCAGUGCACGCACUCACUCACACUCCUUUGCUGGAUGACUGUUACUGAGUCGCCAGGGAAGACCACAAAGAACACUACAGAAUCAUGCAGGGGAUGAGGCCAGGGUGGGGCAGGACAGUCAUCCUGGUCGAGGAGAGCCCAGGUAUAACCAGCAAUUGUUUCCUAGGAGUCACUAUGGAAUUUCCCCCUUUCAUGAGUCUAAAGAUGAAGCCAGAAGGUCUUUGAAGAACUUGCCAAGCUCAUUCUGGCAUUGGCCCUCCCUGCCUCAGUGCGAGGAUCCCACUCAGCACACUCUGCGCUGCGUCCGCAGUCAGACGGGACACACUUGUGAGCACUGGACGGCAGGGCGGCAGCAAUGACCGGGGCGUGUGAUUUGAUCACCAAGAGCUGUGUCAACCUCAUGAAGCACCAACGUGCUGCUGCAUCUAGUUCUAUGAAGAAGUUUACAAAAACUGCAGUAGGGGCACGUAAGAGCCUGCUGGGAACAGGCCUUGGCCCUGUGGGCCUGGCACCCUGGUCCAGAAAGAAGAACAAAGAACCUAGGGUGGAGCAAAUACUUUUUCCAAAUAAAGAGGCCUCCUUGCCUAUGAGGAGACAGAGACGUCAAGAAAAACAAGCCUUUGCCCAGGAUGAUCAGCAGGUGCGUCCCAUUUGGGCGUGUCUCAAAAAGAAAAAAAAAAAAAGAGAGAGAAAAAGAAGAAAAAAGUAAAAAAAUAAACUUGUCUACCAAAGUCAGAUAAUUAAACGUAGCAGCACAUGCACUGGUCCAUUCAGAGGUGUUUUUUCAGGUUUUAGAAGGAUGCUCCAGCGUAAUCCCUCCAAUGUACCGACAAGCCCUCCCUGACCCUUGGGCGGGUGCACCAUGUCUCUGAGCACAGCGUUAAGCACCUGGUCUGCUCCUCCAUGUCAGGGGCUGUGGGUCACAUAUCUCUGGGGCUCUGGAGCUCAGACAGACACAAGAGCCUGGCACGAAGAAGGGCACCAGGCAACAUCUGCUGAGUGGGCGACCUGCUGGCCCCAGGAGGCACUGUUGAAACUGCUUGUGGGUGUAAGCGACAGGCCUUUUCCAGAUGGCACAGGAGGCUGCCAGUGCCCAGCUGAGGUCGAUUCUGUAAUUAGUCAUCCAUUUCUGGUGGGGAAAAUGCUCUCAUUUUGCCACUGAUCUGUCAUCCUUUCAUGACACAGUCACGGUCCUUCAUAAGGGCUAUAAUUUCUUUUCUGGAGCCAGAAUCUGUACAAAUACUCAAGAUGCGUAAAACCUAAAUUUGAGUUUCCACUCCUUUCUACAAUCACCAAGCCCUCACUCUGUGCCAGUGUAAGAAGUAAAAAUAACCAUCCCAGGUAUCAAACACUUCACUUCCAACAUGUCAAUGAAUUUUCCAGCAAUAAACUAUCUACUCAACAACUUUCACACCCAGGAUAACACCAUUGCUGUGCGUACAAACUCAUUUCUCACUUUCUGGAGACAAAUAGGAGACAGGGAUUAGGAGAACUGACUGAGGCACAAGGAAAUGUCUAAGACAGGAGAAUUUCAGUCCACAUGGACAGUAAUUCUCCAAUGGCAAAGCGCUGUUCUUUUUCCUGAAACUUGUUGGUUAAUCGCUUGACUAAUUCAAAGCAGGGAAACUGGAAUUCCCACAGAAGUGCUGAGAGCUCCUGAAACUGGGGGAAUAGUUGGCUUGGUAAUCAAGGAGUCAGCUGCCAGCUCUACCGCUGCCAGCUACAGCCGAGACCAUCUCUGAAGGAAAGCACCACCACCCAGCGCCUGGGCAAACAGCCCCUGUAUCUUCUCUGGCCAGGUGUCCUCCAUUCUCAGGCUCCCACUGGGUCUCACUCUUAUCGCUGUCAUGAGUCCCUGACCUGAACAUGCAUCCCCAUAUGGCUCCUGCCUUUCUCAGAGUACACACUCACUCUAAGUGUCACCUCCUCCGGGAAGAAUUCCCUCACUAUGCUAGUUACGUCUCGACACUAGCUCAUGUUAGAUGCACCUGCCGCAUGUUUCCAAAGCAUUCUCUCUCUCUAACAGUUCUCAUCACAAUGCACUGAAUUCAUCGGUCUGUGAGCUCCUUGAAGGCAAGAGCCACACCUAAUUUGCUUUUAUAACCCAGCAACUAGUCUAGUUCUGGGCACAGAGUGAUGUCUAACGCACACUUAUUAAACACGUGUAAGUUGUGACUAUUUGUAUUUCUGUGUGCCCUGAGGGACCGUGAGCCCGAUCGUGUGAACACAGCCACGCUGUCUGACGCUGGCCACAGGUGGAGCCAAGGUGCACUACAGUGACACCCCCAGGCUGAGCUCCCUCCUGCUCUCCAUGUGGUGUCCUGACUUAGGCUAUGCAUGGUUUGAGAGAUUAGAUGAAAGUAACCCAAUCUAAAUGCAAGCCAGGCAAGGAGGCCUGGGGAAAUGAAAGGUCCCUAACAACAGAACACGGAUGAUUCCCGUGCAGAUGGAAUGAAAGAGUGGGUUGUAGCCAUGUUCGUGUUGGCAUGAAGGGAAACCUUUCUAUAACACUUUGUGAAAAUAUUGUUAUCAUGCUCAUGUCUAUACAAAGAAAACUCACAAGAUGCUGACUCCACAUCUAAGGAGAAAGGGGCACAGAAAGCCCAGAAGGAGCGAGGCUGAUGGAGAGCCCUCCUGGAGGUGAGGGCGCUGCGCCCGCGGAGGCUGGUCCUGCCGCAUGUGCCCCCCCACAGGACGAGAUGUGACAGUCAAGACGGCUCAGGGAGCAGACUCUCGGCACAGCCACCGACCUACAGCCUGACAGAAGCAGCACCAAAGCUCAGAACAGGAAAAGGCAUCUUUGUCUUCUUCCAGAACUGGUAUUCUGGAAGGGUGGAAAGACCUGUAAGCUAGGGUGGGGUGGGCGUGGGGAGGGGUGGCCACAGGCCACUUAGGAAUCAGCUCUUUCUCAGUACCUUGAGAAUCAGAAAUAAAUGAACAAUAGAAAACCCCAACACUUGCCACUCGAGUUUAUUAUUUACCACUCUUACGUGUUUUUAAGUGAAAUUCACCCUCCUUCUCUGGUGAAGGAGAGCUUCAUGGAGUCAGAGACCUUGCUGACGCCACACACUCUUUAGGAUGGAGGUGAGGCGUCUGUUCCACUCCCUGAGCACCAGCAUCUACGACAGUGGUUCUCAACCUCCCUAAUGCUGCAACCCUUUAACACAGUUUCUGUGGGUCACGACCCACAGGUUGAGAACCGCUGAUCUAGGGGCUCAUGUUGUCUGCAAAUCAAAUACCACACAGCCUCCUUUAAUCUGUGCCUAUUUCCACUGAGAACAUUUCAGCACCACUAUCCAGGGUUUCAGACUUCAGAAAAAUCAAGGAAUCCAUUUUUAUAGUCGAUCCUUUCACAAAAUUUGAGUAGCAAAGAGAAACACUGUAAAGUCUAGCCCUAAGAACGGUGCUUAACGUGCAGCCCGGGCCAUGAAUAUGCAUGGCACUCCUUGUCAGCACACAGCCCGCACAGACCUAGACAGUCUGAAGUGUCGGAGUGAGAUUAAAGCAAGGCUCAGCUAAUAUUCACAUUGCCCUCUUGUUCCCUCUCUAAAGAGACAGAGAGAAAGAAAGAGUGGGGGAGAAAAUUAAACAUCUUCUAAAGUCUCUAAUCCCACCAACAUCUGAAGUGCUUCAUUGUCUGCUUACUUUGGAAAGAGCUUCUAGCGUUGCCAUGGCUACCACACAGAGGCCAGAGCCUGUUUGUUGCAAAACUGCUUUGAAGGAACCCGCCACAAAUGCAAGUGUGCAAGCUCUACAGGCUGGCCAGCUCCCAGCAGGGCAUCCUGGGGUCCUGACCAGGCCACCAGGACCAUAGUGGCAA